rnacentral:rRNA from 1 species
UGUGAGGGUUGCUGGAGGUAUCAGAAGUGCGAAUGCUGACAUAAGUAACGAUAAAGCGGGUGAAAAGCCCGCUCGCCGGAAGACCAAGGGUUCCUGUCCAACGUUAAUCGGGGCAGGGUGAGUCGACCCCUAAGGCGAGGCCGAAAGGCGUAGUCGAUGGGAAACGGGUUAAUAUUCCCGUACUUGGUGUUACUGCGAAGGGGGGACGGAGAAGGCUAUGUUGGCCGGGCGACGGUUGUCCCGGUUUAAGCGUGUAGGUGUGUGUUCCAGGUAAAUCCGGUUCACUUUAACACUGAGGCGUGAUGACGAGGCGCUACGGUGCUGAAGCAACAAAUGCCCUGCUUCCAGGAAAAGCCUCUAAGCAUCAGGUAACAUCAAAUCGUACCCCAAACCGACACAGGUGGUCAGGUAGAGAAUACCAAGGCGCUUGAGAGAACUCGGGUGAAGGAACUAGGCAAAAUGGUGCCGUAACUUCGGGAGAAGGCACGCUGACACGUAGGUGAAGUGAUUUACUCAUGGAGCUGAAGUCAGUCGAAGAUACCAGCUGGCUGCAACUGUUUAUUAAAAACACAGCACUGUGCAAACACGAAAGUGGACGUAUACGGUGUGACGCCUGCCCGGUGCCGGAAGGUUAAUUGAUGGGGUCAGCGCAAGCGAAGCUCCUGAUCGAAGCCCCGGUAAACGGCGGCCGUAACUAUAACGGUCCUAAGGUAGCGAAAUUCCUUGUCGGGUAAGUUCCGACCUGCACGAAUGGCGUAAUGAUGGCCAGGCUGUCUCCACCCGAGACUCAGUGAAAUUGAACUCGCUGUGAAGAUGCAGUGUACCCGCGGCAAGACGGAAAGACCCCGUGAACCUUUACUAUAGCUUGACACUGAACAUUGAGCCUUGAUGUGUAGGAUAGGUGGGAGGCUUUGAAGUGUGGACGCCAGUCUGCAUGGAGCCGACCUUGAAAUACCACCCUUUAAUGUUUGAUGUUCUAACGUGGACCCGUGAUCCGGGUUGCGGACAGUGUCUGGUGGGUAGUUUGACUGGGGCGGUCUCCUCCUAAAGAGUAACGGAGGAGCACGAAGGUUGGCUAAUCCUGGUCGGACAUCAGGAGGUUAGUGCAAUGGCAUAAGCCAGCUUGACUGCGAGCGUGACGGCGCGAGCAGGUGCGAAAGCAGGUCAUAGUGAUCCGGUGGUUCUGAAUGGAAGGGCCAUCGCUCAACGGAUAAAAGGUACUCCGGGGAUAACAGGCUGAUACCGCCCAAGAGUUCAUAUCGACGGCGGUGUUUGGCACCUCGAUGUCGGCUCAUCACAUCCUGGGGCUGAAGUAGGUCCCAAGGGUAUGGCUGUUCGCCAUUUAAAGUGGUACGCGAGCUGGGUUUAGAACGUCGUGAGACAGUUCGGUCCCUAUCUGCCGUGGGCGCUGGAGAACUGAGGGGGGCUGCUCCUAGUACGAGAGGACCGGAGUGGACGCAUCACUGGUGUUCGGGUUGUCAUGCCAAUGGCACUGCCCGGUAGCUAAAUGCGGAAGAGAUAAGUGCUGAAAGCAUCUAAGCACGAAACUUGCCCCGAGAUGAGUUCUCCCUGAGACUUUAGGUCUCCUGAAGGAACGUUGAAGACGACGACGUUGAUAGGCCGGGUGUGUAAGCGCAGCGAUGCGUUGAGCUAACCGGUACUAAUGAACCGUGAGGCUUAACCUUACA